rnacentral:tRNA from 1 species
GCGGGCCGUUCGCCGAGGUUCUCGUCGGCCAGCUGCACUCCGGUCUGCAGGUGUUCCAUCUGCGCCAUGUUGGUGCGGGCCCAGCCGGCGUACUC